UCGCAGCUCCCUUAAAGCCGCAGCCACGGCGGACGCUUAGGGUGCCAGGCAGCAGCUACGACACAGGGCACUAGACACUCUCCGCACGCUGCCCCCCGCCCCUCUCGCUCGACUGCCCCAAACUUGCUCGCGCCCACCUGACUCUCCUGCUGCCAACCUCAGGCUAUCAGGAAAGAGGUGAAAAGUGUGGUGACGCGGAAGAAGUCGGUUUUUCCGAGAUCCAGUCAAGGUGUUGUCCCUCAUACCCUCCACCUGCAGCGCCAGUAACUGAGCUUCGGGAUUCCAGACCCGGAACCAAGGAAAACUCGAAUUCGCCGCCGCUCCAGACAAGAAGUGGUCCUGUGCUACCCUAAGGGAGAACAGCUCCAGGAUAAGGUUCAUGGCUCCCUCAUCUGAAGAGAAAGUGACGUUUUGCUUGGAAUCACCCCAUAAGUGAUACCCCUGAGAGACUCCAUCAAAAAUGGGGAUGCAGGGUUUUCCAGUUGUUUGGAAUACUCUGUGCCAAUGCUUGUUAAUAAAGAGCCCUAUCACCUUAAAAAAA